rnacentral:rRNA from 1 species
AGAGUUUGAUCCUGGCUCAGAAUCAACGCUGGCGGCGUGCCUAACACAUGCAAGUCGAUCGAGAAAGUCUGGGUGUAGCAAUACAUCCGGGUGAGUAAAGUGGCGCACGGGUGAGUAACACGUAGCUAACCUGCCCUGGAGUGGGGGAUAACCCGGGGAAACCUGGGCUAAUACCGCAUAACAUCCCGAUGACGCAGGUUGUCGGGAUCAAAGGCCCGCAAGGGUCGCUCGAGGAGGGGGCUGCGGCCGAUUAGCUAGUUGGCAGGGUAAUGGCCUACCAAGGCUAUGAUCGGUAGCCGGCCUGAGAGGGCGCACGGCCACACUGGCACUGAAACACGGGCCAGACUCCUACGGGAGGCAGCAGUGGGGAAUUUUGCACAAUGCCCGAAAGGGUGAUGCAGCAACGCCGCGUGAGGGAUGAAGGCCUUCGGGUCGUAAACCUCUUUCGACCGGGAAAAACGGCCCUGUGAAUAACGGGGUCUGAUGGUACCGGUGGAAGAAGCCCCGGCCAACUACGUGCCAGCAGCCGCGGUAAUACGUAGGGGGCAAGCGUUGUACGGAAUUACUGGGCGUAAAGGGCGUGUAGGCGGUGCGGUAAGUCGGGCGUGAAAUCCCCGGGCUUAACCCGGGGCGGUCGUUCGAGACUGCCGUGCUAGGGUGCGGGAGGGGGAAGUGGAAUUCCCGGUGUAGCGGUGAAAUGCGUAGAUAUCGGGAGGAGCACCUGUGGCGAAGGCGGCUUCCUGGACCGUAACCGACGCUGAGGCGCGAAAGCUAGGGGAGCAAACAGGAUUAGAUACCCUGGUAGUCCUAGCCCUAAACGAUGAGCACUGGAUGUAGCCCCGCACGGGGCUGUGUCGGAGCUAACGCGUUAAGUGCUCCGCCUGGGGAGUACGGUCGCAAGGNUGAAACUCAAAUGAAUUGACGGGAAGGG